rnacentral:lncRNA from 1 species
UUUUUUUUUUUUUUUUCUUGUCUUUUUGCCUUUUCUAGGGCUGCUUCCCACAGCAUAUGGAGGUUCCCAGGCGAGGGGUGUAAUCAGAGCUGUAGCCGCCAGUCUACGCCAGAGCCAUAGCAACGCAGGAUCGGAGCCACGUCUGCAACCUACACCCCAGCUCACAGCAACGCCGGAUCCUUAACCCACUGAGCCAGGCCAGGGAUGGAACCCGCAACCUCAGGGUUCCUAGUCAGAUUCGUUAACCACUGCGCCACGAUGGGAACUCCAACAAUUUCUUGUUUCAAUGAACACUGAGUAUCCUGUCUAUCACAAGUGCCUGAAACAUCCAGAUAAAUGAGGUGCAGUUCCAUUUGGGACACUCUUUACUUCUAGAACCCAGCUGCCACCUGAACAGUACUUCAAAUGUUAUUAAUAUUAUUAUUAUUUAAUUUCAACUUUUAAAAAAAUUAUUAUUUUUUUACUUUUAGGGCCACACCUGUGACAUAUGGAAGUGUCCAGACUUGGGGUCGAAUAGAAGCUGCGGCUGCCUGGCCUACAGCCACAGGAGCAGCCAUGCUGGAUCCAAGCCACACCUGUGACUUACGCUGCAGCUUGUGGCACCACCAGACCCUUAACCCACUGAGUGAGCCAGGGAUCAAACCCGCAUCCUCGGGGAGAGUAUGUCAGGUUCUUAAGCUGCUGAGCCACAACGGGUCCUCUUUGUUCUUCAUUUUUAGAACUGAUACUCACCAAACAAGCAGAGCACCCCAGAUGCCAGAGGAAAACUGCUCCCAAAUCAAUCAGAUGUUUCUCUCCAUUUAUAGUUUUCUAAUUGCUUUUGCUACCAGCCAGGUUCCUUGGCCUCCUUAAGCAAUGGAAAUUGAUACGAGGCCAGAUAGGAAAAUUCAGGCAAGGCUUUAUUGGGUCCCCUGCUGCAGCAGAGGGGGAGCAAAAACAAACAACAGAUUCCCUUGCUUGCUCCCUCUCUGAGUGGGGGGAGCUGGUUCCUAAUUUGGGAUGAGGUAGGGGUCGGUCUAGGAGUCAGGCCAGAGGGAUGGCUUAGGUGGUCUGCCCACCCCUUGGGUGGUGGUGGCGGGGGGGGGCUUGCGCAGAGCCCUGCUUUUGCUCCUGACACCCUACUUCUCUCUUAGCUCUUGGGAAGUGGAAGUUGGGGUUUUAGUUUUUUUGUAUCUUGUGACCCAUAAUUUUCCCUAACUGUAUAUGCACCCAGCUAGUUUUAGUCCCUUAUUGUUUCUUUGUAUAUUGUUGCUUGAGGAGGUGUUUGUCCAGGUACAAACAUUGCAGCCACUGUAGCCAAGGGGUCCUGGUUCCCAGGUCCCAGCCUUUCUCAUUUUCUCUUUGAUCUGAAUGACAGUCUAUCACUUAAACUUGCAUGUGAAAGGGAUGCUUGAUUUCUAACACUUCUGAAGGACAGAAACCUCAGCUGUUGUUCCUGGGCAGAGAGGGCUGCUGCCCGGGUCAGGAGGAAGGGAAUCAGGGAAGGCAUGAGCUUAGGGCCUGAGUCACUGCAUCUCUUUGUGUGUGAAGGAUUUGGCCCCACCUGGGUGAGGGCUUCCAAAGCUGAGGACCCUUCACUGAGUCUUGACCAUGGCAGCAGGCAGCACUCAGCAUCCUGGCCUCCAGGCCCGGCUCUGCUCUUCACUCCAGCGUGGCAGGAUCAGGGCUUCCGCAGCUGCCAUCUGGGGCCCUCUUAGACCAUUUGCUCCCUCAUUAAAGAGGUAUGUGUUGGAGUUCCCAUCGUGGCUCAGUGGUUAACGAACUGGACUAGCAUCCACAAGGAUGUGGGUUCAAAGCCUGGCCUUGCUCAGUGGGUUGAGGAUCUGGCAUUGCCAUGAGCUGUGGUGUGGGUUGCAGACAUGGCUCAGAUCCCACGUUGCUGUGGCUGUGGUGUAGGCCGGCAUCUACAGCUCCAAUUGGACCCCUAACCUGGGAACCUCCAUAUGUUGUGUGUACAGUCCUAAAAAGACAAGACAAAAAACAAAACAAAACAAACAAAAAAAACACUAGUGUGCAUGGGGACUGGAUAGUCACAGAGGCUGCUGUUAUGGUCUCUGUAUUCAGGUUGGGAAGAAGAAUUUUCUGGCAUGGCAAAGUGAAGGGAAAGAAGAGUUUAUUGAGAUGAGAGAUGCUGUUUUUAUAGCCCAGGGAGAAGAGAGGUCUCGAGAUACACCUGCUGACCUGCUGGUUGGUUGUGGAAAAGGGGUCCUUAUGAUACAGUUGCUGGUUGGUUGGUGGCUUAUAAGGCCCCAUAGGGGCGGGAUGAGGAGUGGUCCACAUACCUUUCCUAGUAGGGGGCAGGAAGGAGCUGGGCAGGUUGCUCAAGGUGGGGGAGGGGGAGAUGGGUGGGGCGAUGAUAAGGGUCUGGUAAUACUUUGAGUUCUAUCUCCUUGAAGGGGCCUUGAGGCCUAACAGCUGCCUAAGGAGCCCACAGGAGACUAGGAAAGAGAGGCAAGAAACUAGUGUUGCAGGUGUAACAGUUAUUAAUGUGCAGACAUUCACAUCCUCCACACUGCUUGCAAGGUCAGCUCUAAGGCUGCAAAGACACCCAACUCAGAAUCCAGGUCAUUCUGCCUUUGCAUCAACGCAGGAAAUGGCAGCUGCCAUCAAGGCAGGCCUCGCUCUGAGCCCCACAUUCUCCUGGAACAUCCAUCCGGACCCCUGAUGAGGCCCUUAUCUUUCAUCCCAACUAGUAUUCGCUGCAUUCUUUUUUCUUUUCUUUUCUUUUUUUGAUGCAGAAGUUCCCAGGCCAGGGAUCAAACCCCCGCCACAGCAGCAACCAGAGGCACAGCAGUGACAAUGCCAGAUCCUUAACCACUAGGCCACUAGGGAACUCCUCACCACAUUCCUGCUAAAAAUUUCAAUAGAGGAGUUCCCACCAUGGCACAGUGGGUUGAUCCAACUGUAGUGGCUUGGGUUGCUGUGGAGGUGUGGGUUUGAUCCCCAGCUUGGUGCAGUGCAUUAAAGGAUCUGGCAUUACUGCACUAUGGCACAGGUCACAGCUGUGGCUCAGAUUCGAUCCCUGGCCUGGGAACAUCUACAUGCCACAGGUGUGGCCAUUAAAAAAAAAAAUUCAUUAGAGUUUCAUCAAUCAUUCAUAAAAAGGGAGAGGAAAAGAGUUAGAAAUGACAGUCUCUCUUAAGAUAGAAAAUAAAACUUUUAAAAUUCAACCCAAAGAAAUUAAAAUUUGUAAAUAGAAAAUAACAAGCUGAAGAUGUCUGGGCACUGUAUUCCACUCUAAUUUAUAGCAGAAAUAAUUUCACCAUCUGAAAUACAUUCCUGUUUGUUACUGCAACUCAUUCAACUCUAAGAAAAUUUAAGAUUAUACCAGAAGUGCAAGAGAGUGUUCACCAUGAAAAAAAAAAUCUAAAACCCAUGAUUUACAAGUCUGUGAUCGUAAAGAUUAUUCAACCAUCAUUAAUUCCAGACAAUGUAAUAAAAACUGCCUGAGUUCACUGGUUAAAAUGGCCAUCAUUAACAAGUCAACAAAUAACAAAUGCCAGACAGGGUGUGGAGAAAAGGGAACCCUCCUGCACUGUUGGUGGGAAUGUACAUUGGUACAACCACAAAACAGUAUGGAGUUUCCACUAUGGAAACAGUAGUACCUCAGGAAAAUGAAAAUAGAACCAUAUGACCCAGGAAUCCCACUCCUGGGCAUAUAUCCAGGCAAAACAUUCAUUGAAAACGGUACAUGCACCCCUAUGUUCACCACAGCACUAUUCACAGUAGCCAAGACAUGGAAACUACCCUAAAUGUCCAACAACAGAUAAAUAGAUUAAGAAGAUGUGGUAUAUAUACACCAUGGAAUACUUCUCAGCCAUAAAAAAAGAACAAAAUAAUGCCUUUUGCAGCAACAGCAAUGGAACUAGAGUCAAACUAAGUGAAGUAAGGCAGAAAGAGAAAGACAAAUACCAUAUGAUGUCACUUAUAUCUGGAAUCCAAUAUAUGACACAAAUGAAACUACCUACAGAAAAGAACUUGGAGAACAGACUUGUGGUUGCCAAGGAGUCAGAGAGAGAGUGGGAUGGACUGGGAGUUUGGGGUUGGCAGAGGCAAACUAUUGCAUUUGGAGUGGAUAAGCAAGUGAUCUUGCUGUAUAGCACUGGGAACUAUAUCUAGUCACUUGUGAUGGAACAUGAUGGAGGAUAAUAUGAGAAAAAGAAUGUGUAUAUACAUAUAUGUAUACAUAUAUACAUAUAUAUAUGAGACAGGGUCACUUUGCUGUGCAGCAGAAAUUGACAGAACAUUGCAAAUCAGCUAUAAAUAAAAAAAUAAAAACAAACACCACACUAAAAAACGCCUGCGAGUUAACAAAAAAUGAAGAUGCUUAUGUGUAAUUAGAUCCAUCCUGUUCAGAUACAUAUUCCAGUAACGCCUGUUUAGGAAAGGCAUGUCUAUUUUCAAAUUCUUAUUCUUUAAGCCAGCUUCAUUUAGGUACCAACCCGUAAAAAAGCCUCUCACUUUGUAAUAUUAAAAUUAAAUAUGCAAAAUAAGUAAUUUUAUACACAGCUUUCCAGAAAGCCCUUCACAACGCAUCCAAAUGUAACCAUGAAUGCAUGACAGCAUUUUACAAUUUGAUCAGCUGAAUGGGCAGAGCAGAUUUAAACACACGCAUAAUUCUUUUUACACGGUACACAUUGUAGCUGAUUUCCCACACUGGAUUUACUUAAUUUUUUUUUAACACAAAGUGUGGUUUCUGAAAGAAAUUGAAUUUUCCCCAUAUGACUACGCCUGGCCAUAUCAACAUUUUAAAAAGCUGGGUACACAGAGUUCCCGUCGUGGCGCAGCGGAAACGAAUCUGAAUAGGAACCAUGAGGUUUCGAUUUCAAUCCCUGACCUUGCUCAGUGGGUUAAGGAUCUGGCGUUGCCGUGAGCUGUGGUGUAAGUCGAAGACGUGACUCAGAUCCUGUGUUACUGGGCUGUGGUGUAGGCCGGUGGCUACAGCUCUGAUUAGACCCCUUGCCUGGGAAACUUCAUAUGCUACCUGUGCCACCCUAAAAGACAAAAAGACACACACACACAA